rnacentral:rRNA from 1 species
CCUACGGGAGGCAGCAGUGAGGAAUAUUGGUCAAUGGGCGCGAGCCUGAACCAGCCAAGUAGCGUGAAGGAUGACUGCCCUACGGGUUGUAAACUUCUUUUAUAAAAGAAUAAAGUGAGGCACGUGUGCCUUUUGUAUGUACUUUAUGAAUAAGGAUCGGCUAACGCCGUGCCCGCAGCCGCGGUAAUACGGAGGAUCCGAGCGUUAUCCGGAUUUUUUGGGUGUAAAGGGGGCGUAGAUGGGUUGUUAAGUCAGUUGUGAAAGUUUGCGGCUCAAACGUAAAAUUGCAAUUGAUACUGGCAGUCUUGAGUACAGAUGAGGUAGGCGGAAUUCGUGGUGUAGCGGUGAAAUGCUUAGAGAUCACGAAGAACUCCGAUUGCGAAGGCAGCUUACUAAACUGCCACUGACAUUGAUGCUCGAAAGUGUGGGUAUCAAACAGGAUUAGAUACCCGUGUAGUC